rnacentral:lncRNA from 1 species
UUUUUUUUGUUUUUCCUUAUAUUUAUUUAUGUUAAAUUAGUUAGGUUAGUUUUUUAGUUUAUUAGGUUAGUUAGGCUAGUUAGUUAGGUUGUUAAAUUAGUUUAGUUUAGGUUUAGUUAGGUUAGUUUCCUGUUUAGUAAAGAAGAAAAGGAGAAGAAGAAGAAGGAGAAAGGAGAAGAAGAAGAAGGAGAAAGGAGAAGAAGAAGAAGGAGAAAGGAGAAGAAUAAGAAGAAGGAG